UCCUUCCAAAAAAAUGUAUGCUGAGCACAGAUCAGCCGAGCAUCCCUUCAAAAGUACCAAAUGCCCAUGUGUAUGCAACUGAAUUCCCAUUCUACCAUCUUAAAGAAGGAUGAACUCACAUAAGUUUUAACUUCUGUGUUAUGUAAAUAUAGUAUACAGAGAACUUAUAUGACUACUUUUAAUAGAAACCUCUAAUUUUAAGCAUUCAAGGUGGAGCACUGGAAUGGGCUGUCCAGAAAGCUGUGGAAUCUCAUUCUCCAGAGAUUGUCAAGACCUGAUUGGACACCUUCCUAUGCAACCUGCUGCAGUGAACCUACUUUAGCAGAGGGGUUGGACUCUAACCGCUACAAUUCUGUGAUACUUCUACAGACUCAUGGAUUUUAAGCCCAGAAGAGAAUAUGUGCACUGCAGAACAUCAUCAAGUAACAACUGAACAGAGGGAAAUAGUUUUCACUCUUUCCUACAAGCCAACAAUCAUUCCAAAUAAAUUGCACGACCAGGAGAAAAGGUACAGGGUAGAAAUUCUGAAUAGUUCCACAAAGGCUCUUCCUGAUGGAGUAAGACAAUUCCCAAAGGCCGUGAGAAACAGCAGAGGAAACACACUACAUCAUGAGCUCUACCCAAGCACCAAGUAUAUAAUAGAGUCAGAAGCAACAUACAAGAUAACAUUCACAUUUUAAUUAAAAUGCUCAUGAAAGACCAUCACACAUUCUUGUCUACUAGAGUCCCUGUACACAAAGGUUAGCUGUGUGGUGUUGCAGAUGCCUCAACAACAAGAGAUGUGAAGACUUCAUAUGCUCUUGAUUCAUCCAUAUGAUUCCUUCAACUUCCAGUCAUGGCCACUGAAUAGGACUGUUCUCAUCAGACAACAGGAAAAAAAGAAUAUA